rnacentral:rRNA from 1 species
UACGUAGGGUCCGAGCGUUGUCCGGAUUUACUGGGCGUAAAGCGCACGUAGGCGGAUCGUUAAGUCGGGGGUGAAAUCCUGGAGCUCAACUCCAGAACUGCCUUCGAUACUGGCGAUCUUGAGUCCGGAAGAGGUGAGUGGAACUCCUAGUGUAGAGGUGGAAUUCGUAGAUAUUAGGAAGAACACCAGUGGCGAAGGCGGCUCACUGGUCCGGUACUGACGCUGAGGUGCGAAAGCGUGGGGAGCAAACAGGG